rnacentral:rRNA from 1 species
UACGUAGGGUGCGAGCGUUGUCCGGAAUUAUUGGGCGUAAAGAGCUUGUAGGCGGUUUGUCGCGUCUGCUGUGAAAAUCCAUAGCUUAACUGUGGACGUGCAGUGGGUACGGGCAGGCUAGAGUGUGGUAGGGGAGACUGGAAUUCCUGGUGUAGCGGUGAAAUGCGCAGAUAUCAGGAGGAACACCGAUGGCGAAGGCAGGUCUCUGGGCCAUUACUGACGCUGAGAAGCGAAAGCAUGGGUAGCGAACAGGA